rnacentral:rRNA from 1 species
AAACCUCCCCGCCGGAAGACCAAGGGUUCCUGUCCAACGUUAAUCGGGGCAGGGUAAGUCGACCCCUAAGGCGAGGCCGAAAGGCGUAGUCGAUGGGAAACGGGUUAAUAUUCCCGUACUUCUUACAAUUGCGAUGGGGGGACGGAGAAGGCUAGGUGGGCCUGGCGACGGUUGUCCAGGUUCAAGUGCGUAGGCUGAGUGUUUAGGUAAAUCCGGAUACUCUUAAGGCUGAGACACGACGUCGAGCUACUACGGUAGUGAAGUCAUUGAUGCCAUGCUUCCAGGAAAAGCCUCU